rnacentral:rRNA from 1 species
CGGGUGAGUAAUGUAUGGGGAUCUGCCUGAUGGCGGGGGAUAACUACUGGAAACGGUAGCUAAUACCGCAUAAUGUCUACGGACCAAAGCGGGGGACCUCCGGGCCUCGCGCCAUCAGAUGAACCCAUAUGGGAUUAGCUAGUAGGUAAGGUGACGGCUUACCUAGGCGACGAUCCCUAGCUGGUCUGAGAGGAUGAUCAGCCACACUGGGACUGAGACACGGCCCAG